ACGAAUUUUGGCGUUUGCUUUGAAUUGCUCCGGUCCGGUGUCGGCUAGAAAAGGCAGGUGAUAUUACGGUGCUAUAUACGUGAAGAGGUUGCGUGAGAUUCGUCUCCCAGCGCUUUUCUCCUAAGGUGGAAUCCCAUAUUAAAAGCUUGUCUUGCAAUCAUGUAACGUAGUAGAGUUACAUGAGUUACAAUCCUGCGUAUGCUGAAUCGGAAGAGCAGGAAGUGCUGAGACAUUUAGCAGUGGGAUAUGGCAAAGAAGAAAGAGAUGGCAGCAAAUUAGGCUACUAGUGAAUAAACUGUUAUAAGAGAGUGGAGAGGGGUGAAGUGAGGAAAAUCGCAAGGGGGAGAGUGGAUCAUCAAAGGCAAAAGCGAGUGCUCUUGUGCUGCCUGAAUAUUUGGGACAAUGGGAGUGACUAGUUUGUGGCAGAUCCUGGAACCUGUAAAACAACACGUCCCCCUCAGCAGUCUUAGAGGAAAGAGGCUAGCUGUUGACUUGAGUCUCUGGGUAUGUGAAGCACAGACAGUCAAAAAGAUGGUUGGAGUAGUCACAAAACCUCAUCUUAGGAAUCUUUAUUUUCGAGUCUCUUCUUUAACACUAAUGGGGGUCCAUCUGGUAUUUAUCAUGGAGGGAGAUCCCCCAAAGCUGAAAGCAAACACAAUGCAUAAGAGGACAGAGAUUCGCUUUGGACUACCCAAGAAAUCUGGAGCAAGAAGAACAGGAAGAUCACAUUUUAAAUCUCUGUUGAAAGAGUGCCUUGAAAUGCUGGAGUGCUUAGGAGUCCCUUGGCUUCAAGCAGCUGGUGAAGCAGAGGCCAUGUGUGCUUAUCUGAAUGCUAAUGGGUUUGUGGAUGGCUGCAUCACUAAUGAUGGGGAUGCCUUCCUUUAUGGUGCCCAAACAGUUUACCGGAAUUUUACAAUGAAUGCAAAGGACCCACAUGUUGACUGCUAUUCAAUAUCUGCUAUUGAGGAGACGCUAGGCUGCAGCAGAGAGUCUCUGAUUGGAUUAGCAAUUCUGCUUGGAUGUGAUUAUCUUCCUAAGGGAGUUCCUGGAGUUGGGAAAGAACAAGCUUUAAAGUUGAUUAGGACUUUGAGAGGGGAGAGCUUACUGCAAAGGUUUGAUCACUGGAAAAACCAAUUCCAAUAUGAUGAUAUCCCAGCUACAGCAGUUAAAAAGGUGAUUCACUGUGCUGUGUGCCGCCAUCCAGGUUCACGUAAAGAUCAUGAGCGCACUGGAUGUCAACUUUGCAAAAGUGUGGGAUACUGUGAGCCCCAUGAUGCUGAAUACUGCUGCCCUUGUGACUGGCACACCUCUGAGCAAAACCGACAAGCCAACUCAGUGGAGGAUAGUAUUAGGAAAAAAGCUAAGGCAUGUGAAGGCUUUCCAUUUCCUGAGGUUAUCCAAGAGUAUAUCAUCAGCAAAGAUAAGCAGAUGAAGCUAAAUGCAUGCCAAAGACCAAAUUUAUUGUCCUUUCAGAAAUUUGCUUUUGAGAAAAUGGACUGGACCAAGCAUUAUGCCUGUGAGAAAUUGUGUGCCCUUUUGACUUAUUAUGACAUGAAUAAAAGGAAAUCUGGUCAUACCAGCCCACAGGACCUGCAGGCACUACGGAUAAUCAGGACACGAACAAAAAAUGGAAUUCCUUGUUUUGAAAUUGAGUGGCAAAAACCAGAACAUUACACUACAGAAGCAGAUCAACCUAUGGAAUCUUUUUUAAUAACAGUAGAAGACUCUGAGUUGUUUCAGGCUGCAUACCCAGAAAUAGUUGCCCUAUAUCAAAUGAAGAAGCUGGAAAUUUGCAAGAGAAAAAAGAAAGGUAAGAAGACUGAACUGAAAGAGAGUGAGUGCUCAGCUGAAGACAAAGAAGUUGCAGAUCUCUUUUCCCGGCUAAAUUUGCAAUCUGCACAUGAAACCUUUCCAGAUCAUGAACCCAAGUUUGGUUUUGAAAUGGUUUCCAAUUGUCAGAUGUUGCCAAAAAAUGUCUCCAAAUCUCAGGAUCCAUUUGCAGCUAUAAACCUUUCCAGCACAGUUUUGCAAAAUCAAAACCCACCAGAUUCCUUGCUCGUAACUGCUUCACAAAACCCAGGAAAUGAAUGCCAUUCUGGUAGUUCUUUGGGCCCACAAGCAGAAUGUAUGAAGCAGAACACAGACUGUUGUGACUCUUCUGUGAUUGCUGACCUACAGUUGAGUGGCCUUGACUGGGAAGGUACAUCCUUCAGUUUUUCUCCUAUGCAUGUUAAUGUUGCUUGUUUAGAAUCUGAUUUGGGCACUAGUAGUAUUUCUACAAGACAACAUUCUCCACUGUUCUAUAAAACAGCAGAAAGACCAUAUUUGGAUUCUGUACAGUGUGAUAAAGAUCCACCCCGUAGUGCAACCUGCUUUGUUUCAAACGAUGACUUUCCUAAAAGACAACAUCAUCUGCAUUUAAAAGAUCAAGCAGUUCUCAAACUUUCUGCUUCUGAAGCCUUCUCCAAGUUUCAAAGUGUGUCUCUAGGAAAGCCUUUGCAAGUAGCAAAACAAAUGAAGAGAACGUCUAGCCCAGAGGGUGAAUUUUCAUCUCCAUCAGCUCAGCUAAAUGAUAGCACUCUGGAAAUUGAAAAUGUGUUAUCGAAAAAAUAUCCAAGGGGACUCCAUUUGCAGAACUCUAAAGAACUCAAAAACCCUGAAAAUUCAGUACAGACAGCACAGAAACUUGUGGGUUCAGGCACCUCAGAGUCCAUAGGCCUCUGCACUGUAACACUAGAACCAACUUGCUCGAAAAAUGAGUCACUGAAGUUGGCUCUCAAGUCAGCAAAGGUCCUGAGUAACUGUCAGCUUGGAACAAAUUCUGCACAAAUGAUUCUGAAGAGGCCGCUUAAGAAGAGUGUCUGCCAAAAUCGUGAUUCUAGUGAAGACAGUGACAAUGAAAAUACAGGUAGAAGGAAGCCUCCUGGAGGCCCAGAAAGGGAAAGAGAGUGUAACCUGCUUUGGCGGAAGGACAUGUACAGUAACAAAAGGAGCAACAGUGAAUUGGUUCUUCACAUGAAGCAAAGAGGAAAAGAGCCUAAUUUUAAAGCAAUUGGCACUGAUUUAUCAGUGGAGAAGCAUCCCAGACCUUCCUCUAUUGUGAGUGUUCUCACUUCUCCAAGCCACACAGCACCUACAUUAGGUGUAUCCUAUUCUCAUCUACAGGAGAAUGAGAGUGAUUCUGAAGUGUGGGCCGAUAGUCCCCUGCCUCUGUCUGAAAGGCUGAAACUGAGACAACAGAGCAGUUAGAUCGUCUUUGCAUUUCCUGAAGAGACCGAAAUAAAGUUUGAUUGAUUGAUUCUACAGCCAACUCUGACCAGCCAAGGAAGCCCACAGCUAUCCAUCUGGUAGAGUGAGCCCAGGUUAACUAACACAAAAUCAGAUCCUAUGCUGCCUAGAAAGCCACCCCCAAAGGUGAGAUGGCUCUCCAGAGUGUCAUUCCUUGAGACAUGAUGAGCUAUGUAUAGGAGCGUAUUCCAAAGCCCUGGAGAAGCCGCAGAGAAGCCCAGUCACAAGUCACCACCAAACAAGUCUGUGGCAACCAUAACCGAACCUCUGCAGAUGAUCUUAAUGGCUGACAGGCUGACAGAAAAGGGAGUGGUGCUCUCUUAAGUAUCCUGUAGCCAAGCCAUUGAGGGCUUUAUAGCCAUCAUGAAACCCUCCACAUCAAUGCAGCCCUACUUUUCUAAUAUUUGCAAAAUGCCCUGCCAUUCUUUUCCAUUUCAAAUGGAAUUCCCCAAACGCUCUGGAACAAAGUGUGAACCUGAGGAAGUGAAAGGCUCACGGACAAAGAAAUCAGCAAGGAAGUGGUUAGAAUUUUCUAAGACAUCUGCCAGAAUACUAACUGCUGCAUCAAGAACUUUAUUGGUUGUACUUCUAGUCUGUUUGCUCUGGAGUAGGACGAUGAAACAUCUUCUAUAAUAGGGUAAUAAGCUAUUUUGCAACAUUGAAAACAACAACGCCAGGCAGAAUGUUACAAUCAGGCAUUUAUAUGGAAAGGAGCAGACAGAAGAACCUAUCACAGAAGACAUUCAGUCCUUGUUUUCUGUGGAUUGGUUUACAAUAUACUGUAAUGAUACACCACCAAAUGUUGCAUGAAGUCUUCCUUAUACUCUCUAACCAAGGAAGCUGGUGAUGACUAGACAAAGGAAAUUAGACGGCUGUGAAAUCACUAAAGAUUGCUAUGCAGACUGAAUACAAGGAAGGCUUAUUGGCAAUAGAUAUGCAUGUGGCCUUAAUGGAAUCCACAUGUUUUUCGACUUAAUUGCCACUCAGUCACUUCACUCAUCAAGCUCUGCUUACAUUCAGCUAAUUUGUCUUUGCUUGUAUGCUCUGUUUGCUGCAGUAAUGGUGUGGUGAGUGAGAUAAGACUUUUUUUUUAAAGCGAGAAAUGCAGAGGAAAAAUUCUUGUUUAAGUUUCUCUCCCCCACUCCCCUUGCAAAUUGUAGGUUUGUCUGAUCAGAGGUUUUUCUAUUGUGCUUGAUAGCUCUACAUUACAUUUAUUUAUUGUUGCCAUUUUCAAAUCUGGUGGGAAAUCUUUAAUCUAUUUAUCUGAAAUAUGGUUGUUUUCUAGACACCAUUUCAGAAUUAAUUGGAUCAGGGCAAAGAGAUUCCAGAAGUGGAUAGGCAAGACUCUCAGCAAGGCCUGCUAAAGAAUAUUCAAGAUUAAAAUGCAAGAAAAAAGCAGAGUACAGUAUAUUCAUUCAUUUAAAAUAUUUAUAUCUCCCUUUCAGUAUGAUACUGCUUGGGGGAGCUCACAAAAAUGAUAAAACAGCGUUUAUAAAUUAAUAAAAUUUAGUUAAAAACUAAACUUAGCUAAAACCAGAUCUACAGAUUAAAAACCUACUGGAGAGAAGACAAGAGUAUCUGAAGAGCAUUUUUGUCACUUUUUUGUGCCACAGAAGAAAGUCAUUUAUUUCUCAGCAUAACCUGCUUCACAGGGUUGUUGCAAAGAUAAAUAUAACCUGCUCUGGGCUAAAUAAUCUGCAAAGAUAAGUUAUUCCCCCUCUCAUACAUUUUUUUAAAUGGAAAGCAAUCUCUGCCUUUGGCAUGUGCAUUUAAUACAUAGACGCAUUUAACUGUUUAAAGCAAUACUCUCUUGAUGUGCAGAACCGGUGAUUUAGCCAGUGAUAUAAGUUCUCAUGAGGAAGACUCACGUUAUUUUAUUUUAAUUCAGUUGUUGUUGUUUUUAAUGGACCUCUUUCUUCUCUCAUUCCAGCAGGACCCAAAGCAGUACAUGUCCUUCUGGAUCAAUAAAAGAUCAAUAACAUCCAAAUUGAUUUUUUAAAAACCCACAAAAGCAAAACAUUAAAAAACACCCUACAAAAUUAAGUAAAAGCAGCAGGAGUCACCUAGCAGCCAAAAAAACAAGAACUCUAACAUAAUCAAAGUGUUAUGAAACAAGUUUUCACUGAGCGUCUAAUGUUCUCUUGGGAGGGAGUUGGACUAGAAGACUUCCAAGGUUCCCGCCAACUCUAAAAUGCUCUGACUGGAUGAGAACCUGCCCAGCUGGCCACCACAGGGAAGGAGUUCUGGCUGGCACCACCACUAAAAAGAUCCUGCUCCUAGAAGCUUCCUUCUGAGCUUUAAUGUGGUCUGAAACACAGGCAGGUAUAGUCUAAGGCACCUCAGCCCUCCCUAAAUGACGCCUCAUAAUUCAUUCUAUAUGCCGACAUACAUUAUUUGAUUCAGGUAUAGAAUGCAUCAUUUGCAGUGUAAAUGGAGCCAGUCUUGUGGCUGACACCCUGAUUAAAUUACUCAAUAAUAGUACUCAGAAAUUACUGUAAAAGACAUUCCUCUAGCAAAUUUAGUCAGGGUGUCAGCCAGUGUUACCAGAUGCUGUUUCUUCCAGUCCAGUUCUCAGAAUUGCUCUGACCAGGCUAAGAAUGCAGCAAAUGCCAUUCACUGUUUAGGUGGUCAUUUCACAAAAACUUUGUAUGAGUCUUGUGUCUAUCCUUGGACUAGUGGGCAGCGCUGUCCUUAGGGCAUAGCAAGCAGGGUGACUGCCCUGGGUUCCACUCUUUUAGCAUCCAUUAGAAUUAUCUGGAAGGGGGGGCCCCGUACUGGCUGAUUUGCUCCAGGCCCUGCCCGCGGCCAGAGCUCUCCAAGAACAGCCCUGCUAGUGGCUCUGUAGACUCAUUACCUCUGUCACUGCACCAUUUCCUCAGCAGCUGCUUUAACAUUUUUAGAUUCCCUUUUGGAGGGGAAAGCCUACGAGUCUGAUCUAUAGAAGACUGACCUUCUACUGACCUCUCAUGACAAGGCAACUCUGCUGAAGGUGGCAGGAUUUGCUUGAGCUGCUGGGGGUUGAGUAAGCUUUUAAAGUUAUCUUGUCGCAUAAUGGAGUGAUUUUCCCCACCUUUUAAAAUAUGUAACGUUCCUUUUAAAUUUUAUGUAUGUGUACAUAUAUUUCCCUUUGUCCUUUUAAAUAUGAAUUUUAUCUGUGAGUGAUUUUUUAAUUGUACACAAGGGGUGUGUGUGGCUUCUGCUGCUUUGUGUAUGACCUAUGGUUGGGACAAUAAAAUAAUUUACCAACCUA